rnacentral:rRNA from 1 species
CCUACGGGAGGCAGCAGUAGGGAAUAUUGGACAAUGGACGCAAGUCUGAUCCAGCCAUCCCGCGUGAAGGAUUAAGGCCCUAUGGGUUGUAAACUUCCUUUCUUUGGGAAUAAAAAGCGGUAUUCAUAUCGCCUUGAAGGUACCAGAGGAAUAAGCACCGGCUAACUCCGUGCCAGCAGCCGCGGUAAUACGGAGGGUGCAAGCGUUAUCCGGAUUCACUGGGUUUAAAGGGUGCGUAGGUGGCUUUGUAAGUCAGCGGUGAAAGCCUGGAGCUCAACUCCAGAAUCGCCAUUGAUACUGCAGAGCUUGAAUCAAGUUGAGGUGGAUGGAAUAUUACAUGUAGCGGUGAAAUGCUUAGAUAUGUAAUAGAACACCGAUUGCGAAGGCAGUUCACUAAGCUUGUAUUGACACUGAGGCACGAAAAGCGUGGGGAUCAAACAGGAUUAGAUACCCUGGUAGUCCACGCCCUAAACGAUGCAAACUCGACAUUANGAUAUANAUAGUGUCAGAGAAAGAGUUAAGUUUAGUCCACCGCGGUAAGGUAACGACCGACGAAGGUUAGUUAAACGUUAACAAAUUAAGAAGUUAGUACGGGCGUUGAGACGUUGCCGAACGGACGACGACCGAAGGGGAAGGUUAAGGGAGG